rnacentral:antisense_RNA from 1 species
CUUCACCGAUCCCAGCCACAGCGGCCGUUGGCCCGCCGCCCGGUCCUGUCCGUACGUCGCGAGCAGCGCCUGCGCCUC